GAUGAACGCUAGCUACAGGCUUAACACAUGCAAGUCGAGGGGCAGCAUUGGAGUAGCAAUACUUCAGAUGGCGACCGGCGCACGGGUGAGUAACACGUAUCCAACCUGCCGCUUACUCGGGGAUAGCCUUUCGAAAGAAAGAUUAAUACCCGAUGGUAUAAAGAGUUCGCAUGUUCUCUUUAUUAAAGAAUUUCGGUAAGCGAUGGGGAUGCGUUCCAUUAGAUUGUUGGCGGGGUAACGGCCCACCAAGUCUACGAUGGAUAGGGGUUCUGAGAGGAAGGUCCCCCACAUUGGAACUGAGACACGGUCCAAACUCCUACGGGAGGCAGCAGUGAGGAAUAUUGGUCAAUGGACGAGAGUCUGAACCAGCCAAGUAGCGUGAAGGAUGACUGCCCUAUGGGUUGUAAACUUCUUUUACAAGGGAAUAAAGUGAGGGACGUGUUCCUUUUUGUAUGUACCUUAUGAAUAAGGAUCGGCUAACUCCGUGCCAGCAGCCGCAGUAA
rnacentral:rRNA from 1 species